AUCAUCUAGAACUCAAACCGAGCACAUCUUUUCUUAAAAAUCCGGACUUCUUCGUAUUAAUUGGCGACGAGGAAAAAAGAGUUUUCUCAGUUUUCCUCGGUGGAAAUCGGUGUAGGCAAGCGCAUCGGUUGGAGGAAAAUUUGGGAGAAGUUUUACUUUGGUUACCGGGGAAAUCGGUGAUAACUGAUUGGCCCGUGAAGCAGCGGAAUUUUUGUUUCGUGUGAAAAAGGCAGUCGGUGAUAAUCGAUUGUCUCGGAAGACUACGGAUUUGGUCCGUGUGAAAAGACAGUCGGUGAUAAUCGAUUUGUCCAGAAAAUACAGAAUUGUCCGUGUGAACACGUCGGGUCGAUCAAAGGAGCCGGACAUUUUGGUGUUUUCUGGCCGGGGCGGUGUGUUCUGCCUUUUGUGACGUGUCGGGAAUCAUCAACGAGGCGGUGGAUUGUCCUUCCGGUGAUUUCGGAACAGAACCAAGUGAUUUCGACGUUGUCGGAAGCUGAUAGGUGACCGGCUGGUGAUUUCUGUCGCUACGGGUGAGCGGGGAACGAGCCACGUGUUGCAGUACCUGGAAGCGCUGAUUUUUUGAGGUUAAGUUGCCGCUGUGUGGGUGUCGGUUGGAAGCGCUCGGGUGAUGGCCCACAAGAUGCAGCUUAAACCCCAUCACGAGCGUCAGGAGCGCCCGAAUGUGCACCUGUUUCCGGUGGUGCACGGCGAAUACGAGGGCGAGGAGGAAGCAGUUUGUACGACUGCAGCAGAUAUUAGUUCAGAAGAAGAAUUUCGAGGAUUUCCGGUGAUGGCUGGAGGAAAAAGAAGAAAAAGAAGUGCGCUUACGGCAGAAUUGCCUGAAGGGUAUCCACGAAGAUCAAAAAGGCUCAGAAAGCCGAUUCAUGAUUUGAAUUAUCAAUAUAAUUAGUGAAUUCAGAAGACUAGGAUUUUUUUUAAAAUUAAAUAAUCAUUAAAAGUGAUAUCAGAGAAUUAGAAAAAAAAACAAAUUCGUUCAGAUAAAUUAACUAAAUUGAAUUGUAUUCAUUAGAAAUCUUUCUUGCUAAAAGAGGGAGGAGUUGUUAUGUACACCCUCGUUCGUUGUACUAAAUUAGAACGCAAAUGUCAAACGUAGAGUGUAACGUUCUGAAAUGACUUCGCUGUGAGGUUGAAUAAAUCUUUCCCUUUUAUCAUCUAGAA
rnacentral:misc_RNA from 1 species